rnacentral:rRNA from 1 species
AUUGAACGCUGGCGGCAUGCCUUACACAUGCCAGUCGAACGGUAACAGGUUAAGCUGUCGCGUGGCGAAGGGGUGAGUAAUGUAUCGGAACGUGCCCAGUCGGGGGGGAUAACUGCGCGAAAGAGCAGCUAAUACCGCAUACGCCCUGAGGGCGAACGCGGGGGAUCGCAAGACAUCGCGCGAUUGGAGCGGGCGCGAUUGAAUGAGGCGGUGUGGGAGGAGAAGGUUGGCGGGGCCAAGGCCCACCAAGGCGACUGUGCGGACCUGGUGUGAGAGGAGGAUCAGCCACACUGGAACUGAGCCACGGUCCAGACUCCUACGGGAGGCAGCAGUGGGGAGUAUUGGACAAUGGGCGCAAGCCUGAUCCAGCCAUACCGCGUGGGUGAAGAAGGCCUUCGGGUCGUAAAGCCCUUUUGUUGGGAAAGAAAAGCAGCAGGUUAAUACCCCGCUGUUCUGACGGUACCCAAAGAAUAAGCACCGGCUAACUUCGUG